rnacentral:rRNA from 1 species
CAGAGGGGCAAGCGUUAUUCGGAAUUAUUGGGCGUAAAGGGCGCGUAGGCGGCUUUUCAAGUGACGGGUGAAAUCCCUCGGCUUAACCGAGGAACUGCCUGUCAGACUGGAAGGCUUGAGACCGGGAGAGGUGAGUGGAAUUCCCAGUGUAGCGGUGAAAUGCGUAGAUAUUGGGAGGAACACCAGUGGCGAAGGCGGCUCACUGGACCGGAACUGACGCUGAGGCGCGAGAGCGUGGGGAGCAAACAGGAUUAGAUACCCUGGUAGUCCACGCCGUAAACGAUGAGUGCUUGGUGUAGCGGGUAUCAACCCCUGCUGUGCCGAAGUCAACACAUUAAGCACUCCGCCUGGGGAGUACGGUCGCAAGACUG